AUGGGGAAACCGGGACCGGAACCGGGAAUGGGACCGGAUCGGGAUCGGAACCGGGAAUGGGAAACCGGGACCGGAACCGGGAAUGGGAACCGGAUCGGGAUCGGAACCGGGAAUGGGAACCGGAUCGGGAUCGGAACCGGGAAUGGGAAACCGGGACCGGAACCGGGAAUGGGAACCGGGUCGGGACCUGGAAACCGGAACCGGGAAUGGGGAAACCGGGACCGGGAAUGGGAACCGGAUCAGGAUCGGGACCGGGAAUGGGGAAACCGGGACCGGAACUGGGAAUGUGGGAACGGGAUCGGAACCGGGACUGGGAACGGGAACGGGACAACGGGAACGGGACUGAAACCGGGAAACCGGAACCGGGAAUGGGAAUGUGGGAGCGGGACCGGGAACGGGGACUGGGAAACCGGGACCGGAACCGGGACUGAAAACGGGAACGGGAACGGGACGGGAAUGGGGAAACCGGGACCGGAACCGGGAAUGUGGGAACGGGAUCGGAACCGGGACUGGGAACGGGAACGGGACCACGGGAACGGGACUGAAACCGGGAAACCGGAACCGGGAACGGGACUGGGAAUGGGAUCGGAACCGGGAACGGGGACUGGGAAACCGGGAAACCGGAACCGGGAAUGGGAAUGUGGGAGCGGGACUGGGAAACCGGGACCGGAACCGGGAACGGGAUCGCAACCGGGACUGAAACCGGGAACGGGAACGGGACGGGAAUGGGGAAACUGGAACCGGGAAUGUGGGAACGGGAACGGGAACGGGACUGAAACCGGGACCGGGAAUGGGAUUGGGAAUGGGGAAACCGGGACCGGGAACGGGGACAGGAUCCGGGAGGGUCCGGGAGGGUCCCGGGAGGGUCCCGGGGGUCUCCGGGAUUCGAGGAUCCCCCCCGCCCCCCCCGUGCCUCAGUUUCCCCUCUCGCCUUUCAGCCCCACCGGAGCCGAGCGGGACCCCCGAAACUCGGGGUGGGGGCGGCGAGAGCCCCCCGGGCACACCGGGAACCCCAAAAACCGCCCCGGGAACCCCAAAAACCGCCCCGGGGACCCCAAAAACCACACCGGGAAUCCCAAAAACCACACCGGGCACACCGGGAACCCCAAAAAGCGCCCCGGGGACCCCAAAAACCGCCCCGGGCACACCGGGAACCCCAAAAACCGCCCCGGGGACACCGGGAACCCCAAAAACCAUCCCGGGAACCCCAAAAACCGUCCCGGGAACCCCAAAACCCCACCCAGACCCCCCAAAAGACCUUCUAGACCCCCCAAACUCCUCCUAGACCCCCCAAAUCCCCCUUAA
rnacentral:lncRNA from 1 species